CACGUAGGGGGCAAGCGUUGUCCGGAAUUAUUGGGCGUAAAGGGCGCGCAGGCGGUCAUUUAAGUCUGAUGUGAAAGCCCACGGCUCAACCGUGGAGAGACAUUGGAAACUGGAUGACUUGAGUGUAGGAGAGGGAAGUGGAAUUCCACGUGUAGCGGUGAAAUGCGUAGAGAUGUGGAGGAACACCAGUGGCGAAGGCGACUUUCUGGCCUACAACUGACGCUGAGGCGCGAAAGCGUGGGUAGCGAACAGG
rnacentral:rRNA from 1 species